rnacentral:misc_RNA from 1 species
GAAAUGCGAUACGUAGUGUGAAUUGCAGAAUUCAGUGAAUCAUCGAAUCUUUGAACGCACAUUGCGCCCUUUGGUAUUCCAAAGGGCAUACCUGUUCGAGCGUCAUUUGUACCCUCAAGCUUUGCUUGGUGUUGCGCGUCUUUUGUCUCCAGCUCGCUGGAGACUCGCCUUAAAGUCAUUGGCAGCUGGCCUACUGGUUUCGGAGCGCAGCAUAAGUCGCGCUCUCUUCCAGCCAAGGUCAGCGUCCAGCAAGCUUUUUUUUCAACCUUUGACCUCGGAUCAGGUAGGGAUACCCGCUGAACUUAA